rnacentral:pre_miRNA from 1 species
CCCAGGAGGUGGAGGCUGCAGUGAGCCGAGAUUACACCAUUGCACUCCAGCCUGGUCAACAAGAGUGAAACUCCAUCUCAAAGAAAAAAAAAAAAAAAAANNNNNNNNNNUUUUUUUUUUUUUUUUCUUUGAGAUGGAGUUUCACUCUUGUUGACCAGGCUGGAGUGCAAUGGUGUAAUCUCGGCUCACUGCAGCCUCCACCUCCUGGG